rnacentral:rRNA from 1 species
UACGGUCCAGACUCCUAGGGAGGCUACGGUCCAGAAUCUUACGCGAGGCAGCAGAGCCGAAUAUAGCACAAUGGGCGUAAUCCUGAUCCUCUUAUGCUGCUUGAGCUAUGAAGUCCGUAAGGUUGUAAAGCUUUUUUACCCGUGAGGAUCAUGACGGUACCGGAUUAAAAAGCCCCGGCUAACUUCGUGCCAGCAGCCGCGGUAAUACGUAGGGGGCAAGCGUUAUUCGGAAUUACUGGGCGUAAAGCGCACGUAGGCGGUUUUUUAAGUCAGAGGUGAAAGCCCGGGGCUCAACUUCGGAACUUCCUUGGAUACUGGAAGUCUUGAGUCCGGAAGAGGAAAGUGGAAUUCCUUGUGUAGAGGUGAAAUUCGUAGAUAUUAUGGAAGAACACCAGUGGCGAAGGCGACUCUCUGGUCCGGUACUGACGCUGAGGUGCGAAAGCGU